GUCCACGCCCUAAACGAUGUCAACUGGUUGUCGGGGAAGCAAUUCCUUGGUAACGAAGCUAACGCGUGAAGUUGACCGCCUGGGGAGUACGGCCGCAAGGUUAAAACUCAAAGGAAUUGACGGGGACCCGCACAAGCGGUGGAUUAUGUGGAUUAAUUCGAUGCAACGCGAAAACCUUACCUACCCUUGACAUGUACGGAACCCCGCAGAGAUGCGGGGGUGCCCGAAAGGGAGCCGUAACACAGGUGCUGCAUGGCUGUCGU
rnacentral:rRNA from 1 species